rnacentral:lncRNA from 1 species
UACUCACGCACGCACACCGCCGUACACAGCACAAUCGUUCACCGUCCCGCCAAAGGCUCGUCUCUCGGGUUCUGCCUAGUGGAAGGAGUCGGACAACGCCGCACGUCACGGGCGUUUCGGAUUUCUUGCUUCCCAAAGGUUUGACGGCGGCCACCGGCGCCCCGGCCCAGCUCUGCUUUCCUUUGCUGACUCCUUCCUUUAGCUGUCUACCACCACUGCUGCGCUUGUGGAUGACUGCAGGAACACCGGGUACUUGCCACAAGUAUCUCUCCAGAUUCAUCAGCCUUUCACCUGUGACAAGCUCAGUCAAGAAGUGGCUCCUAAGUAAAAGCUGGGGAAGAACAAGGAAGAUAGAGCUGACAGGCAUGGUAGCUCAUGUGGAAGCUUCCCGAGGCCCUCACCCAGAAGCAGAUGCUGGAGCCAUGCUUGUACAGCUUGCAGAACGGGCAACUUGUAUUGUAGGAAUCAUCAGGCAAUAAGAUGCAGGGAAAACUCUGGAUACUGCAUACCCAAAGUUGAAUACAUUUUUCU